rnacentral:sRNA from 1 species
CUUGUUGUUCAACUGUCCGGCCUUCUGUAACAGCACGACCUCCAAGAUAUGCAAGGUAUCUCAUAAGCAUCUUCG